rnacentral:rRNA from 1 species
GUGUAUAUUUAAGUUGUUGCGGUUGAAAAGCUCGUAGUUGGAUUUUGGGACGACGCGUCUGGUCGGUCGCAAGGCUCGUACUGCACGCGUUGUCCUCACGUGACCGGUACUUCUAAGGUGCUCUUGACUGAGUGUCUUUGUUGUCCGGUAAGUUUACCUUGAAAAAAUUAGAGUGUUCAAAGCAGGCUUAAAGCUUGAAUAAUGU